AUUGAACGCUGGCGGCAGGCCUAACACAUGCAAGUCGAGCGAGCGGCGGACGGGUGAGUAAUGUCUGGGAAACUGCCUGAUGGAGGGGGAUAACUACUGGAAACGGUAGCUAAUACCGCAUACCAUCAGAUGUGCCCAGAUGGGAUUAGCUAGUAGGUGGGGUAAUGGCUCACCUCGGCGACGAUCCCUAGCUGGUCUGAGAGGAUGACCAGCCACACUGGAACGGGGACAAGGGCCAGACUCCUAAGGGAGGCAGCAGUGGGGAAUAUUGCACAAUGGGCGCAAGGCGGAUGCAGCCAUGGCGCGGGUGUGAAGAAGGCCUUCGGGUUGUAAAGCACUUUCAGCGGGGAAGCGGUACCCGGAGAAGAAGGACCGGCUAACUCCGUGCCAGCAGCCGCGGUAAUAC
rnacentral:rRNA from 1 species